CAGGUGGUAAACUCCAUCUAAGACUAAAUAAUACCACGAGACCGAUAUUGAACAAGUACCGUGAGGGAAAGUUGAAAAGGACUUUGAAGAGAGAGUUCAAGAGCGUGAAUCCGUUGCGAGAUUAAAACGGUUGGACUUACGUAGUCGAAAACCGGAGUCGAAUGUUGUCGUCCCAGUUGAGCCCGAGCUGUCGAUCAGCGGUUAGAG
rnacentral:rRNA from 1 species